GAAGGGUUUCUAUGAAGCCAGGAGGCUGGCAACACAUGGAGGGUAGUAGGGAGAAAGUCUGGAGUUUUUCCUCUCUGGGGUAAGGGAGAAAGAAAGGGAGAUAGGCGCUCAUGAGGAAGGGUUUAUCUAGUAGGUCUAAGAGAGAGGGGUUUGGCUAGGGAGUCUGAUGAAGGAGGAACUUAAAGAAGCAUGGUUGGAAAUAGUCCAGGAAAGAGAGUAGUAAGGUUGGAACCCAGUGUAGAGGGUAGGCCUGGUCUCCCCUACUACCCUGCAGAGUGGUAUUGCUUGGGGCAGUGAACGGGAAGACAGAGGGAGUCACUGAGCGUGACAUAGUCAGGGCAGUGGGUGUGAGGACUGCCUGUGCAGGGAGACUUUGAAAGAUUCCCCUUGAAGGGAAAAAUCACAGCUGCCCUGGUUGGCAGGCUUGAGUCACAAAGCAGCCAUACUGCAACUCUGUGAGUGAGAGGAAAGCUGCAACAGUGGACGAGAAGGAAGAGGGUACUGAACCAGGCAGAUCUAAUCCCCAGAAUUGGGUGCCAUCCAGUGGAGUAGUGCCCAGCUCAGGAGGAACCCAGGGGACAGGAAUGAAUGCUCCACACAAGACUAGAGCUGCUCCAUAGCUACUAUCGCAGUCCUCAGGCCCUAAAGCAUCCCCUCCAGUGAAGAAGAGAGGAAGGGGCCAUCUGAUACACUCUGACACAACUUCUCCUGUUGAAGAGCCUUCAGCUACACUGAAAUAAGAAGCCACUGUCAAUCUUUCCUGUAUAAACGAGAAGCCUGAAAUGAAGAGUACAUUGAAAGCUGCCUUCAGCCAUAACUCAAGAGACAAAAAUUGGCUGCUUAAUAGAAGUGGCCUUCAGUUAUGAAGGUGGAUCAUAACUGUAGUCAAUAAGUUUGGGGAUAUUUGGGGGUAAUCUCUGAAAGCAUUGAGGUUUCUUUUCAUGGGGGCUAUCUUGUAUAGUUUUCCCUGUACUUAUUGAAGUGUCAGCUGUCUAAUUCAAAAAAGCAAAAGAGGAUAAAAGUACUUCUAUUCUUCAUGCACCCAUGUGGAUGAAGACCACUUCUUUCCCUCCCAAACCCAGGGAUCUGUAGACAGCUCCUACUCAAAUACGUUCUCGUGUAUAACUACAUGAUACAGAAAAUAUCAGCCCCAAGAGUGAAGAAGAAAGGUCUGAGUAAUUAUGAAUUCCGACCUUUGACAUCGUCUGUUCUGUUUCAUCAUAACCUCAUGGUGCUAGUAAAUCACAGGUUUAAGAAACAACCAGGUAAACCAUACAAACAUGCUUACUUCUAGCUCUCCUUUAUCUCCAUGACGUACGUAGUAAGAAAUACAGAGGAAAAUGGACAUAGACACUCCAAAAGCCCACAACAUUCAUAUCUUAUCUAGAUUUACUUCUAUGCAGCAAGUAGCUUCACAUGCUUGGGGCUAUGUAUACCUCUCAACUACACUGGAAAUCAAUUGGAGGAAGGUCCUAACCAUCAUUGUGAAUCUGGGCUAUAGUGCCUAGCACCAUGGGGUCCCAUUCCUGGUUGGGAUCUGUGGGUGCUGUUGUAUAAUUUAAAAAAAAAAUACUGCUACCCAGAUGUUGCUACUGUUUCUCCCUCUUGGCAGUCUUAGGACCCCACCAAAAGAAAAACAUGAUAUGAGCCACAUGUCCCAUGCUGUGUUACAUUUUUUUUCAUUGAUGAGAAAGGGAAGAGAGCUCUCUUUUGUAUUGCAGGGCUCCCAUUUGUCACAGGAUGAUAACACUUACGUAUUGUAUCUUUCUAGCUACUGGCAUCUCUCUCCCCUCACAUCUCAUUCUUUUGUCUGUUCUGCCUUCCUGUGAUCAUUCCCUUUUUGUCCCCGGUGUGCUAACUACUCCCAAAUCCUUUACCGCAUAUUGAACAACUGCUUCAGCUGUGCAGAGUGAACUUUCCCUUUUGUAGGCCACAGGCAAAUGUUUCCAUCAUGUGUGCAUGUGUGCGCAUGCUGUCCUGAUUGUGGAGGACAGAUUCCUUUAUCCUUACAAAGUGCUUGUCAUCUUAAGGUUAAUGACCCCUGGACUAACAUGAAAAGGUGACUUUGCAUAUACGUGACUUGUGCUGACAGUUCUAUAGUUCUCUGUCAAGCCUUGGCUGCAUUUGGCCAUUUGUAUUCUGGAAUAUUUAUUUCAUGAUUUUAUGGCAAGCAACACACCACCUGUUCUUUCGUAGCUGCAUCAAUGAGUAUUUGUGUAAAUAGGCCUAUGAAAAAGGAUUCAUUGUACUGAAGUAGAGAAUAAAGGCUCUCUCUGGGAAAAGAAAUGGGAAACACUGCAGCCAACAGGUAUAUCAUGUUUACUCUGCAGUGUCUAAUGUAAAUUAACUUUAAUAUUCCAAUGACAAAUAGAAGUACAGUUGAUCAUCAUCACUGGGAAACAGUCAUAAAGCACAGCCCAUGCAGUAUGGUAACUCUGAACCCAAAAGCGUUUGUCAUUUUGUAUUCUGUAUAAUAACGUGUAAGGUAUAUAAUAUUGACAUAAUUUUCUACACUGGCACAUGCAGGACUGAUAUGGGGAGUAGACGCAGGAAGGGUUGAUUAGUGGUGGGAGUGAUAUGCACAGGUGACUGGGUACCUCCACCCCCAGCAAUUCUCUCACGUUUGACAAAUAUGUGCAUGAAAGGUUUUGAUUCAUAGUGGGGUUAGAAUGAGGUUUGGUGUUCAUCCCAACUAGGACUAGGGGUUCAGAUUCAGCUGAACCAAAAACUCAAGAGCUGCUAUGAAGAGAUUUUGAGUUUGGGGUCAGUGCAGAAAACAAGACUCUUGUAGGUCUGGAUUUGACGUGAACAAAAACUGUUAGGGCAAACUUGGAUUGUGGAUUAAAAUGUAACCCUUGGCAAUUCAAGGGCAAAGCUUGGACCUAAGCUUUUAGUUCAGUCCUAUAGUUAAUGACAGCCAUAACAUGCCAUGGUCACUAUUUAAAAAAUCAACCUUUGCCAACAGAUCAUCAUUUCCUAUCCUAAGAGUUGGUAUCUUGGGUACCACUGUUUGGAAACAGUGGGUAAAUGAAAACUCAAGCUUAAAAAUAUCUUCCACUGUAAGUUUUGUAUUAUAGAAAAUUAUGCUGGCUGGGUAACAGAAAUGAAAUAGAGUACUGAACAUAAAUGGAAAUGGCCAAUCGCUUAGCACAGUAUUAGGUCAUGAUAUUUCAUUCUACUUUGCAAUUACAACUCUCUUACCAGGCUCAAACAUCCCCAGAAAAGUUGUCUGCUUCCCAUCACCCCCUCCCACUGUUAGCAGCACUGGAGAACAAAUCCUGACACAGGAAAUCUAAGAAGGAAGCACUUUCGUGAUCCUUGUUGUUAAUGAGACUGUCACUCUUCAGGGUAUCAAGCCCCAGAAGGCUUGUUGCUAGGCAAAGGAACAAAUUAGCUUUGUCACGUUGUUCCAUGGAUGAGUCUGGAGAUCUGAGUAUAAGCAAGCAGCUGAAUUCCAGGCAUGUUUUAAUAUUUACUUCAUUUAAAAACUGGUGUUUAGAAUGAAUUAAAUCUUUAACUCAUGUUAUGUCCUACUAUUGGUUUUUGUUUAUUGUA